rnacentral:tRNA from 1 species
GGGGAUUUAGCUCAGUGGUAGAGUGCUUGCUUAGCAAGCACAAGGCCCUGGGUUCGGUCCCCAGCCCCG